rnacentral:tRNA from 3 species
UGGGGAUUGGUGUAACGGUAGCACAGCUGAUUCUGGUUCAGUCAGUCCAAGUUCGAAUCUUGGAUCCCCAG